AUUUUUUUUGGAACUUUUUUCCCAUUUUUCCUGGAAUUUUCCUCUUUUUUUCUUGGAUUUUUUUCCCUUUUUCUCCUGUUUUUUCCUGGAAUUUUUUCCUUUUUUUUUUGGGAAUUUUUCCCAUGUUUUUCCCAUUUUUUUCCCAUUUUUUUCCCAUUUUUUGGGGAUUUUUUUCCCCAUUUUUCCUGGAAUUUUCCUCUUUUUUUUCCUGGAUUUUUUUUCCUUUUUAUCCUUUUUUUCCUGGAAUUUUUUCCCUUUUUUUUGGGAAUUUUUCCCAUUUUUUUCCCAUUUUUUUCCCAUUUUUUUCCCAUUUUUUCCCCAUUUUUCCUGGAAUUUUCCUCUUUUUUUUCCUGGAAUUUUUUUUCCUUUUUUUUGGGGAAUUUUUUCCCAUUUUUUAGGGAUUUUUUUUCAUUUUUUGGGGAUUUUAUUUUCUGGAUUUUUUCCCAUUUUUAGGGAAUUUUUCCCUUUUUUUUUUUUUAAUUUUUUUCCCAUUUUUGGGGGGAUUUUUUCCCCAUUUUUCUAGGAUUUUUUCCCAUUUUUCCAUGAAAUUUCUUCCAUUUUUUUCCCAGAAUUUUUCCCAUUUUUCCAGGAUUUUUUUCCCAUUUUUCCCAGAAUUUUCCCAAGAAUUUUCCCAUUUUUCCAGGAAUUUUUCCCGGAUUUUUUCCCCAUUUUUCCAGAAUUUUUUCCCAUUUUUCCAGGAUUUUUUCUGAAUUUCUUUUCAUUUUUCCAGGAUUUUUUCCCGGAUUUUUUCCCCAUUUUUCCAGGAUUUUUUCCCAUUUUUCUCAGAAUUUUCCCAAGAAUUUUCCCAUUUUUUCUGAAUUUUUCCAGGAUUUUUUUCCCAUUUUUCCAGAAUUUUUUUCCAUUUUUCCAGGAUUUUUUUCCCAGAUUUUUCCCCCAUUUUUCCAUGAAAUUUCUUCCCAUUUUUCCAGGAUUUUUUUCUGAAUGUUUUCCCAUUUUUCCAGGAUUCUUUUCUGAUUUUUCCCAGAAUUUUUUUCCCAUUUUUCCAGGAUUUUUUCCAGGAUUUUUUUCCCCAUUUUCCAGGAUUUUUUUCCCCAUUUUCCAGGAUUUUUUUUCCCAUUUUUCCCAGAAUUUUUACCAAGAAUUUUCCCACUUUUCCAGGAAUUUUUCCAGAAUUUUUUCCCAUUUUUCCAGGAUUUUUUUUCUUAUUUUUCCAGGAUUUUUUCUGAAUUUUUUCCCAUUUUUCCAUGAAAUUUCUUCCCAUUUUUCCAGGGUUUUUUUCCCAUUUUUCCAGGAUUUUUUCCCAUUUUUCCAGGAAUUUUUCCAGGAUUUUCUCCCAUUUUUCCAUGAAAUUUCUUCCCAUUUUUCCAGGAUUUUUUCUGAAUUUUUUCCCAUUUUUCCAGGAUUUUUUCCAGGAUUUUUUUCCCCGUUUUUCCUUGAAAUUUCUUCCCAUUUUUCCAGGAUUUUUUCUGAAAUUUUUUCCCAUUUUUCCAGGAUUUUUUCCCAUUUUUCCAGGAUUUUUUCCCCAUUUUUCCAUGAAAUUUCUUCCCAUUUUUCCAGGAUUUUUUCUGAAUUUUUCCCCAUUUUUCCAGGAUUUUUUCCCCAUUUUUCCAGAAUUUUUUUCCCAUUUUUCCAGGAAUUUUUCCAGGAUUUUUUUCCCCAUUUU
ensembl:lncRNA